GAUGGUUUGGGAGAGUGGUUAAUCCGCUGCCUUUAGGAAUGGUUUAAACGGCAGUGCCGUCGGCGCGCGAGUUCGAAUCUCGUAACCAUCA
rfam:Dacryopinax sp. DJM-731 SS1 chromosome Tnknown DACRYscaffold_6, whole genome shotgun sequence.